rnacentral:rRNA from 1 species
CUGCCAGACUUGGAACCGGGAGAGGUAAGAGGUACUACAGGGGUAGGAGUGAAAUCUUGUAAUCCCUGUGGGACCACCUGUGGCGAAGGCGUCUUACCAGAACGGGUUCGACGGUGAGGGACGAAAGCUGGGGGCACGAACCGGAUUAGAUACCCGGGUAGUCCCAGCCGUAAACGAUGCUCGCUAGGUGUCAGGCAUGGCGCGACCGUGUCUGGUGCCGCAGGGAAGCCGUGAAGCGAGCCACCUGGGAAGUACGGCCGCAAGGCUGAAACUUAA